rnacentral:tRNA from 1 species
AGUAUAAAAGUAAAAAUUACAAUUAAUUUCGACUUAAUAUAUGGAGAUAAUAAUCCUUAUACUU